GACGAACGCUGGCGGCGCGCUUAACACAUGCAAGUCGAGCGAGAACCAGGGCUUCGGCCCUGGGGACAGCGGCGAACGGGUGAGUAACACGUGGAUAACCUGCCCUCGGCACCGGGAUAGCCCGAGGAAACUCGGAUUAAUACCGGAUAGCCCCUCCGACUCUCGGGUCGGUCCGAAAAGGUAGCUUCGGCCUCUGGCCGAGGAUGGGUCCGCGGCGGAUUAGCUUGUUGGUGGGGUAAUGGCCUACCAAGGCUCGAUCCGUAGCUGGUCUGAGAGGACGAUCAGCCACACUGGGACUGAGACACGGCCCAGACUCCUACGGGAGGCAGCAGUGGGGAAUCUUGCGCAAUGGGCGAAAGCCUGACGCAGCGACGCCGCGUGAGGGAAGAAGG
rnacentral:rRNA from 1 species